GGCAAGAAUAACCACAAUAUGAAG
rnacentral:siRNA from 1 species